rnacentral:rRNA from 1 species
UACGGGGGGAGCAAGCGUUGUUCGGAUUUACUGGGCGUAAAGGGCGCGUAGGCGGCCAGCACAAGUCAGUUGUGAAAUCUCCGAGCUUAACUCGGAAAGGUCAACUGAUACUGUGCGGCUAGAGUGCAGAAGGGGCAACUGGAAUUCUUGGUGUAGCGGUGAAAUGCGUAGAUAUCAGGAGGAACACCGAUGGCGAAGGCAGCUUGCUGGGACGGUACUGACGCUGAGACGCGAAAGCGUGGGGAGCAAACAGG